CAAACUUAGGGCCUUUUUGAAACGUGGGAUUGGAAAAACUUAGGAUUUUGACAAUAAUGAGGAUCCCUUUGAAAUGCAUGAUCGAAAAAAUUGUAAGAAUAGGAAAAACAAAGAAAUAGGAUAUGAAACAUAUGCAAAACAGAGAAUUGGAAAACACAGUGUUUGAUUGGACCGUAAAUGGGUCUGUAUUAUUGGAGUUAAUUGAGUUGGUUAUUUACUUAUACAUAUCUAAUCUACACUAAUUGAAUAGAAAAGUGACCAUGAGCUACUAGAUUUGUCUCGAUCCUAAGCGAGAUAGCUAGAACUUUAGCUUAGAGUGAAUGUUAAAUUUCCUAUAUUUUUCCUCCAGAAUCAUAGGAAUAGGAAAGUUUCCUACAUUUUUCCUUUACUCAUUCCUAGCAAUUAAAGGCAUGAACAGUGUACGAUUUUAAUUUCUUUGUUUUUCUUCCAUUUUUCCUCCAAUUAAAAGGGGCACUGAAAUAAAGCAUUGCAAAACACAGAAAAAUAAUAAGAAUGGUCGUUUGAUUGGAUCACAAGAAAAACACAGGAAUUAGAGGAGAGAUAAAAAGUCAAAAGAAAAUUUCAUGAGAUUCUACUUCAUAUUAAAUUUCCUCCAAAACUUGCAUGGAAGAGGUAUUCCAUAGGAUUCAUUUGUGUCUAUUCCUUUUAUUCAAGGAGCUAUCUACUAGAAAAAUAAUCCUAUGAGGAUAAAAUUCUCCAAAAUUCCUACAACUUCCGUUUGAUUCAAAAGUGGGUCUUAAUAAUUACUAGUCAUAAGUCUAGUCACCUCAAUCUCACAAAACGAGAGGAAAAUUUUGAACCGGAAGCAGUAGUGAGCCACCAACUAGCACGGAUACAAAACAAAAUCAAAUGUCAAAUAAUUUGACUGAGAACAACGAUAAUUUCUUACUCAAGUGUUAGCCCAUGAUUCAUUGAUUCGUGAACGCCGUUCGUGCAGGUUUAUGGCCCCCCAAAAUUAAAUGUGCAAAAAAUUAGGUCGACUAUGGAAGAUAAUAUAGUGCGAACACAUCAAUUUGUCCCAUACGCAUGUUUCCUGAUCAACACAAAUGAUUUAAGAAUAGAUCUCUCAGGCCUCGUUCUUAUAGGCUAGGUUUGGGGGGAAUGGGCCGAAAUCCCCGUGUGCCAUCCCGGCCAGAUCUAAUUUUCUUCCGUGGUGCAUGUACGCGUUCGCCUGGCCCGAGGUGGGGUGGGGGAAAUUCUCCACCCGAUCCAUGCCAAACCCCCGGUACAGAAAAAUCGUCUCGGAGACGAUUUUUUUCUUCCCGAGCAUACACGGCGCUCAUCUUCCUCGACUCCUCACGGCGCUAGGUUUGGAGGCGGCGCGAGGUCCGGGAGCAGCAUAUCUCCAGCCACCACUGGUCUCCUUCCCGCCCUCGGUCACCGCCGGUCUCCAUCCCGCUACAGCCGCCGCCGCUCGCCAUCUCUCCUUCCUCGCUUCGGAUUCACCGGUUGCGGGAGAGGGCAAGGUCGAGGGCAACAGCCCGGACAUCAAGAAGCAGGUCCUACAUUAUUGGUUGAUACUCCAAGAAACACAAAUAUAACAGAACUACGGAGUACGGACAAAUCGACAUAUAACUCAUUUGUGUUGAUAUUGCAACUGUUGGCAUUGCAAGUUCUGUGCUUAUAUUCAAGGAUUAACCUUUCAGGGAAGAACAAUA